ACCCGGAGGGUCAUCAAGUCCAACCCGCUGCAAAUGCGGGUAUCUUUUGCCCCACAUGGGGCUCAAACUCGCGACCCUGAGGUUUUCAGAGUCUCAAGCCCACACCAAGCUCCCACGUCAGUUUGGAAGGGUAGGUUGCCCAGCAAAUUUUGUUGCCCGCUUUCAGCAUAAACUGAAAGGAUAAGUCGGGGGCAAAUAAAAAGGCGGUGAAGUUUUUUGUUGUCCCUGAUCGUGCAACAGGGAACUGGCGACAUCAAAUCAAUAAGAGCUACCAGUAAUUAAAACCAGCUCCAGCGGAUGAGGAAAGGGCAUUUUGAAACAACAACAACAAGUCUUCCACUGUAACUGCAAAGUUGUUGAAGGUGAUCUAAGCAUUCCCAAUACAUAGGAAUGGUUGCACCACCAAAAAAAGCCUCUUCUCUGUUCCCGAGAGCGUUGAAGACUUGAGGCCAAGAGCAUAAAGAGAUUUAUCAAUCAAACAGUUGAGAAAGGAACUUCUCAAUAAAGUUGUUUCUCAUUUAAGGA